CAGGCUUAACACAUGCAAGUCGAGGGGCAGCAUGGUCUUAGCUUGCUAAGGCCGAUGGCGACCGGCGCACGGGUGAGUAACACGUAUCCAACCUGCCGUCUACUCUUGGACAGCCUUCUGAAAGGAAGAUUAAUACAAGAUGGCAUCAUGAGUCCGCAUGUUCACAUGAUUAAAGGUAUUCCGGUAGACGAUGGGGAUGCGUUCCAUUAGAUAGUAGGCGGGGUAACGGCCCACCUAGUCUUCGAUGGAUAGGGGUUCUGAGAGGAAGGUCCCCCACAUUGGAACUGAGACACGGUCCAAACUCCUACGGGAGGCAGCAGUGAGGAAUAUUGGUCAAUGGGCGAGAGCCUGAACCAGCCAAGUAGCGUGAAGGAUGACUGCCCUAUGGGUUGUAAACUUCUUUUAUAAAGGAAUAAAGUCGGGUAUGGAUACCCGUUUGCAUGUACUUUAUGAAUAAGGAUCGGCUAACUCCGUGCCAGCAGCCGCGGUAAUACGGAGGAUCCGAGCGUUAUCCGGAUUUAUUGGGUUUAAAGGGAGCGUAGAUGGAUGUUUAAGUCAGUUGUGAAAGUUUGCGGCUCAACCGUAAAAUUGCAGUUGAUACUGGAUAUCUUGAGUGCAGUUGAGGCAGGCGGAAUUCGUGGUGUAGCGGUGAAAUGCUUAGAUAUCACGAAGAACUCCGAUUGCGAAGGCAGCCUGCUAAGCUGCAACUGACAUUGAGGCUCGAAAGUGUGGGUAUCAAACAGGAUUAGAUACCCUGGUAGUCCACACGGUAAACGAUGAAUACUCGCUGUUUGCGAUAUACUGCAAGCGGCCAAGCGAAAGCGUUAAGUAUUCCACCUGGGGAGUACGCCGGCAACGGUGAAACUCAAAGGAAUUGACGGGGGCCCGCACAAGCGGAGGAACAUGUGGUUUAAUUCGAUGAUACGCGAGGAACCUUACCCGGGCUUAAAUUGCAGAUGAAUUACGGUGAAAGCCGUAAGCCGCAAGGCAUCUGUGAAGGUGCUGCAUGGUUGUCGUCAGCUCGUGCCGUGAGGUGUCGGCUUAAGUGCCAUAACGAGCGCAACCCUUGUUGUCAGUUACUAACAGGUUCCGCUGAGGACUCUGACAAGACUGCCAUCGUAAGAUGUGAGGAAGGUGGGGAUGACGUCAAAUCAGCACGGCCCUUACGUCCGGGGCUACACACGUGUUACAAUGGGGGGUACAGAGGGCCGCUACCACGCGAGUGGAUGCCAAUCCCCAAAACCUCUCUCAGUUCGGACUGGAGUCUGCAACCCGACUCCACGAAGCUGGAUUCGCUAGUAAUCGCGCAUCAGCCACGGCGCGGUGAAUGCGUUCCCGGGCCUUGUACACACCGCCCGUCAAGCCAUGGGAGCCGGGGGUACCUGAAGUGCGUAACCGCGAGGAGCGCCCUAGGGUAAAACUGGUGACUGGG
rnacentral:rRNA from 1 species